CUGGUUUGAAUCACAGAUUUCCUAUGUGAUGAGAAAACUGACUGAAUGGCCCUGCUUGUUAACACAUAGGGAAAACUCCAUUACACAGUACUCGGUCCUGAGACCCACGGCUGCCCUCCAAGCAAGCGUCACAAGGCAGAACCGCACUCCCUGUCCACAGCUACUUGAACAGAUAAGACCAACAAAGCCCACAGGAAGUGCUGGGUCAGGAUCCCACUUCUGUGUUCUCCAAGGGAGACUGAUGCAAGCUCACACAUCACCCCAGAAACGUUGCCAGGCACAAACAUGCAGACCUGCAGUUCCAGAGGCUUGCAUUUUAAAAAAACAUCGCAGAGUCUGGACACAAGUCACAGUCACAGAGACAGCAGGGGAGUGAAGCAAGACAGCAAGGAACGUGGACUGCAGAGCAUCCACAUUUAAUCUUAACAAGAAGCCAGCGUAAGAUGAAAUGUCUGGAACUUUCUCUGCUAUGUUUGCUUGGCACACCACUCGGGAAGGAGCAGGUUAUGCUGGAAAACCACCAAGAGCUGGAAAACUACAAAGGCUAGAAACUCUGGGUGACCUCAAGCAUGCCGUUCGCCUUUCCUAAUUCCAUCUCUGAGAGAUGAUCUUACAACCCCAGCUUUCAAACCGUGAGGCAAUGAGCCAAACUCCUCGGUUCUCCUCCAAACUCAAGCCUUCAUUAAUCUUGAUUUCAGGCGCUGACGCGUCCUGGAGCGCGGAGACCGCGUUCCAUUCACUCUCGUAAACCUUACAAUGCUGGUGCUCGGUGGGGAAUCUAAUAAUCGUUUACGUUUUUUUUUAAUUGAGAGAAUCAGUUUUCCGGUUAUCUCCAAAAUAAAAGGGGGGAUGAUUA